rnacentral:tRNA from 1 species
GGGGCCAUAGCUCAGUCGGGAGAGCGCUUCCCUCGCACGGAAGAGGUCAGGGGUUCGACUCCCCUUGGCUCCA